AGUCCCUGGCCUAUCUCCGCGCCCCCGGAGUUCAAGCCCCGCCCCCCGCUGUAUUGGUCUGAUCCUUCAUAGGAGCAAUGGCUGGUCCUCGUAGGGUCUUGGGAGUGCCCCCAAAAUCGCUGCAGCUGCCCCUGCAUCUGAGCCUUUGUCCGAAGCUUCGUAGAUUCCAGACCAAGCCUUCGUAACGAGAAUCCCAUGAGAUAGGUAGAUGAGCAUUAAAGUGUGUAAACUCCUGUGGGUGCCCACCGCUUCCCGCCAGUUCAGACCACCAAUCCCUCAGAGGUUUUCUUUCUGGGAAAGAAAGAGGAGCGCGGGAAAAUUAGGUGCCGGAAAGCUAGAGGGAGCGGAGUGGUGGGUGGGCAGGCUCACAGGUUAGUGGGUGCAGGGUCAGCGAAGGGCCUCUGCAGAGCCCCGGUUCCGCUUCUAUCGCCACCCGUGCCUUGUGGUGGUGCACGCCUGUCAUCCCUGCGCUUCGUCAGAUCCAAACCGUUUCAAGGGGCAGAAGCUACAGGAGCUACCAGAUUGACUGUUAUCUGUGAGAAUCGAACCAUAACCUGCAGGCAAAUCAGCAGUGAAAAGAAAACUGAGCCAGUCGUGGUGGCUCACACCUCAGUACUGGGGAGGCAGACGCAGGAGGAUGGCUGUGAAUUUGAGUCCAGCCCGGGCUUCAGAGUGAGUCCAAGGACAGCCUAACCCACAUAAUGAGACCCUGU